ensembl:lncRNA
GUGCGCGGCGCGGAGCAGCUGUUCUUCGUGCCCGCGCUGGGUCUUACUGCCCCUAAAAUGGCCCCGCCGAAGUUUUAACACAGUCAGCGGGGGCCGGCGCCGGGACUUGCGCCGCCUCAUUAGCAUUUAAAGGGGCCGCACUGAGCUCGCGGCUGCACCGAGUGAGAGGGGGGACGGCGUGGGGAUCGGUCACGGUGAGGUGAGGGGUGCGCACCGUACACGGGUGAGUGUGUCAGUGCUGUGUACAGGUGGCCGUGUGUGCCACAAGAGUGCGGGUGUGAACGCCGAGCUUGUGUGUGUGUGUGUGUGUGCCUGGAACAGGCUGCCCAGGGAGGUUGUGGAUGCCCCGUCCUUGGAGGUGUUCAAGACCAGGUUGGACAGGGCCCUGGGCAACCUGAUCUAGUAAAUGUGUAUGUUUGGUGGCCCUGCCAGGCAGGGGGGUUGGAACUACAUGAUCCUUGAGGUCCCUUCCAACCCAGGUCAUUCUGUGAUUCUGUGUGUGCGUGUGGAGCUGAGCGCCGCGAGUGCAUGCCCGUCUGCGUGGGUACCCGCAGGAACCCCGCUGUGCGUGGGGUUGUGUAUAGAUAGAUACAUACGCACACACGACUGCAGUCGAGAGUCCGAGAUGUCAGUAGGCUCGUGGCCGUGUAUUGCUGCUUGCUCCCACCCGUGUGCAGACAAACCCGCUUCUGUGCUCUGGCGGCGGUGCCUGUGAAUGCGCCUCUGCCCCGUGCUCUGUAUGGCGGAUCAGUUCGUUCUGGACCCGAGUUCGCGUGCGCUCCGUUGGAGACAAACGUCUAGAGAUGAGGUUACUGAUUCUUCCAGUGUUCCAUGUGGGCUUCUCAGGGAAUUGCAAUCCAUGUUUUGGAUCCCCCAGUUUUGGAAAAUAAACACAUUCAAGGCUGAAGAACUGACUUCAAAAUGGAAAACAUUCAUCUUCCCAGGUCUAGUUGGAAAUCCUAUGUUACACUGCUUCAGCAUAGCAAAUGAAGAACAGUCCAUCGCAAAACAGCCCGUGGCUUCACGCUGUGCUAGGAAGUGUUGGAUCAAAGGGCUGACACGCUCUACCAGAAGAUAUGUUUCAAAUUUGGUUACAGUAUCUGAGAAUUACUGCCUAUAAAUAAUGUUGGAUACUUCCAGGUGGAGGGACUUCUUAAAUGGGCUGAUAGUGUUUCCAGCAGGACUUAUAUGUGACAAAAUGCAGAAAAGCUUAUGAGCAAAGUAAUUUUGACUCUUUGCCUAUCUCUGAAAUGCCAAGAACCUGAUUGCAGGCCAGAGCUGAAAGACAACACACUUGAGAAAAAGAUGCUGCUUCCAGGGAAUAAGAAUUUCUUUGCUAAGAGAUCAAGGAUCAGACCAGUGGUCUUGCAAAGACUGCGGAAAAUUCUCUGUUGAUAGACUUGCAUUUAAAAAAACUUUGAUCAGUUCCCAAGUCUGUCAAAAACUGGAUAGUUGACAAGGCUAAAAUAUAAGACUGUAUUACCAUGCCAGUAUGCCUUUUAAUGAAGAAACCAAGGAAAGAAUUUAGCACAGGAUUGCUAGAGUUGUUCUCAGGCUCAUUCAGUCCCCAGAAUACCUCUGUUGACCCAUUACCCUCACUCACCAUCCCAGUUUUGUACUGUCCUUCAGAAGAGGGCUCAGCUCUAUGCAGAAGCUUAUAUUCCAGGAUAAUUCAUACCCUUCUCUACAGUGGAGUAUUUUCAAAGCAUGCUUUAAAAAAAAAGUGCAAGCAUUUGCAUGCACAGACUAAAGAAGACACUGUGUUAAUUUUCUAGAAGAAGAACCUUAAAGCCAACUGAACUGCACAUACAUCCACUGAACCUUCUUUUGUGUCUCUGGCUCCUUUCUAGGCUACUAAAUAGUAGCUAAUGCAGGGAAAGCCUGUUUGCCUACUUGUGACCUCCUGUGUCUUUUCCUUGCUGCACACACAGAACCCAUCCUUUCCUUCUGCCCUACCUAAAUCUACAUAGGCUUCCUCCUCCAUUCCUUUUUUUCUGGAUGCUCCCUUUUAUCACUUAUCCAGCUAAGGCUUCAUUGAUUAAUGUUCACAUGGAUUAAUAUUACCUAAAGUGAAUUCACAAUAGAAUGUGUUUUUCUAACCGACUAUUCAGUAUAUCUGG